AAUUUUGGACAAUGGGGGAAACCCUGAUCCACCCAUCCCGCUUGUGCGAUGAAGGCCUUCGGUUUGUAAAGACCUUUUUUCGGGGAGGAAAUCGUCAAGGCAAAUAUUUUGUCCGGAUGACGGUCCCUGAAGAUUAAGCACCGGCUAACUACGUGCCAGCAGCCGCGGUAAUACGUAGGGUGCAAGCGUUAAUCGGAAUUACUGGGCGUAAAGGGUGCGCAGGCGGUUUAUCAAGAAAGGUGUGAAAUCCCCGGGCUUAACCUGGGAAUGGCACUUUUAACUGAUAGGCUAGAGUAUGUCAGAGGGGGGUAGAAUUCCACGUGUAGCAGUGAAAUGCGUAGAGAUGUGGAGGAAUACCGAUGGCGAAGGCAGCCCCCUGGGAUAAUACUGACGCUCAUGCACGAAAGCGUGGGGAGCAAACAG
rnacentral:rRNA from 1 species